AACGCACAUUGCGCCCUCUGGUAUUCCGGGGGGCAUGCCUGUUCGAGCGUCAUUGCAACCCCUCAAGCACAGCUUGUGUGUUGGGCCAUCGUCCCUCUUUUGUGGACGGGCCUGAAAUGCAGUGGCAGCACCGAGUUCUGGUGUCUGAGUGUAUGGGAAUCUCUUAUCGCUCAAAGACCCAAUCGGCGCUGAUGUCAGAUUUUUAUCCAGUUUGACCUCGGAUCAGGUAGGAGUACCCGCUGAACUUAA
rnacentral:misc_RNA from 1 species